UCGGUGAAAUUCGAACACUACGGUUGUUGAAUUAAUUAAUUCGUAAAAAAAAAUGAAAUUCACAGAGCACUUAAGUGCUCAUAUUACACCAGAAUGGAGGAAACAAUAUAUAAAUUACGAGGAAAUGAAAGCAUUGCUCUAUGCUGCGGUGGAACAAGCACCAGCUGCAGACAUAACGGAAUCCCACAUAUUAGAACGUUAUUUUGGCAAAUUUGACGAACAAUUUUUUCAUUAUUGUGAUAAGGAAUUGGCAAAGAUAAAUACGUUUUAUUCAGAAAAAUUAGCAGAAGCAACACGUAGAUUUGCAACCCUCAACAAUGAAUUAAGUGAAAUUCUGUCAGUUUCUGAUCAGGUACAGGGAAGUCGCAAAAUCCGUUACCGUAACAAUAUUCUGCACAAAAAGCCAGUUUCAGCACGAAAACUUCAAGAACUGAAAUUAGCUUUUUCUGAAUUUUAUCUUUUUCUCAUUUUACUUCAAAAUUACCAGAAUCUUAAUUUUACUGGAUUUAGAAAAAUAUUAAAGAAACACGAUAAACUUUUAAAUAUAGAUCUUGGAGCAAAAUGGAGAGCAGAGCACGUAGAUACAGCGUUAUUUCACACGCACAAAGACAUAGACAGACUCAUUGCAGAAACAGAAGCAUUGGUUACCAGAGAUUUAGAACAUGGAGACAGACAACGUGCUAUGAAACGUUUAAGAGUCCCUCCGCUUGGAGAACAGCUUUCCCCAUGGAUUACAUUCAAAGUGGGACUUUUUUCAGGGGCUUUUGUGGUUCUUCUUAUAGCAGUGGUACUUUCAGGUGCACGUUAUAGCGACAACAAUAAUUGGCGAGUUUUGUGUAGAUUAUACCGUGGACCACUUCUUAUGAUUCAGUUUCUUUUUCUCAUGGGAAUUAACGUAUAUGGAUGGAGAUCUUCUGGCGUAAAUCACGUUCUAAUAUUUGAACUGGAUCCCCGUAAUCACUUAUCGGAACAGCACAUUAUUGAAAUGGCUAGUGUAUUUGGAUUGGUUUGGUCUCUAUCAAUUUUGGGAUUUUUAUACAGCGAAACGUUAGGAAUACCACCAUUUGUUCAGCCUAUGUUGUUGUAUAUAUUACUAGUUUUGUUUUUGUUCAAUCCAACAAAAACAUUACGUUAUGAAGCUAGAUUUUGGGCACUCCGUGUCUUGGGUAGAAUAUUUUGCGCUCCAUUUUUCUAUGUCGGAUUUGCUGACUUCUGGCUUGCUGAUCAACUUAAUUCGCUAAAUACUGUUUUCUUAGAUUUUCAAUAUUUCGUUUGCUUUUAUGUGCAAAAUUCUUCGUGGACCGACGUCACCGAUGCAGAAACUUGUAUAAUGCGCGAAUUAUCAAUGAGAUUAUUUGUAGCUUGUUUGCCAGCAUGGUUUCGAUUUGCACAAUGUCUACGGCGAUAUAGAGAUACAAAGGAAGCCUUUCCUCACCUUGUAAAUGCUGCGAAAUAUGCUACUAGUUUCUUCGUUGUAGUAUUUUCUUAUUUAUAUUUAACUAAUGCUAAGUAUUACGUGAUGUCUACCGAAAAUCCCUAUUUUUAUUUAUGGAUAUUCGUAAGUAUUAUGAGUUCUUGUUUCACGUAUACAUGGGAUAUAAAAUUAGAUUGGGGAUUGUUUGACAAUAACGCAGGAGAAAAUAAAUUUCUAAGGGAAGAAAUUGUUUAUUCCUCUCCGUACUAUUAUUAUUUUGCAAUAAUCGAAGAUUUUAUACUCCGUUUUGGUUGGGCAUUUUCGUUGUCUCUCACCGAAAUGGGAUACGUACAUGCAGAUUUAAUGGUUUCUAUAAUUGCGCCAUUGGAGGUGUUCAGGUAAGUUAGAAGUAAGUUGAUAUCGUUAGCAACAUAGAUAUAUUUUUAGAAAUUGCGAUUUUGGCUGUACAUCCAUGUAUGAUCUAUUUCAUACUGCACAUCGUUACGUAGUCUCAUUUUUAGACAAGCUUGAUGACAUUUUUCGUUUGCAUGAAAUUUAAAAUCAUUUUAUAUUUCAGUCACGCAAAUUUGAUAAAGCAAUGUUGACUAAGUGAAACAACUAAUAAAUCAUAAUAAACAACAAAAUAAAAUUUUUCUUUGUUUUUAAUUUUUAUCCCUGUUUUAUUUAUUCCAUCGUGUAUUUCAUUAAUCGCAUUAAUCUUUUUUUCGUUAAACGUUUAAGUAAUUUUUUAUUAUUGUCGAUUUAUCAUCAGUAACUGCGCAAACGUAACUACGUUUUUAUUUAUCACAAGAAAUAUUAUGUAUCAAUUCGCCUUACUAAUCAGUUGAUAGAAGGUACAUAUGGAAUUAUUUUCGUCUGGAAAACGAACACCUAUACAAUGUAGGCAAAUUUCGAGCUGUCCGAGAUAUCUCCAUAGGGCCUUACAGACGCAAUGAACACGAUGAACCGAAGGCUGCUAUACAUCUUAUGGAUCGUACGAACAGCGACGAUGAUGAAAGGACGGCGUUUCGUGAUCAUUGAAAUUGUCAUCUUGAGAUUUGUAUGGAAUUUUUUCCGUUUGGAAAACGAACACCUGAAUAAUUGCGGCAAGUUCAGAGCUGUCAGAGAUAUAUCUGUUGCACCGGUUGAUUGCUCUGAUCAAACUCAAAUUUUGAGGAUGAUGGAUGCAGCGGAUGGGGUGAUCAACCGGAA